rnacentral:rRNA from 1 species
UACGUAGGUGGCAAGCGUUGUCCGGAUUUACUGGGCGUAAAGAGCGCGCAGGCGGUCGUUCAAGUCGCGUGUGAAAGCCCCCGGCUCAACUGGGGAGGGUCACGCGAUACUGAUCGACUGGAAGGCAGGAGAGGGUAGUGGAAUUCCCGGUGUAGUGGUGAAAUGCGUAGAGAUCGGGAGGAACACCAGAGGCGAAGGCGGCGACCUGGACAGGUACUGACACUCAACUACGAAAGCGUGGGGAGCAAACAGG